rnacentral:rRNA from 1 species
CCUACGGGGGGCAGCAGUGGGGAAUAUUGGACAAUGGGCGAAAGCCUGAUCCAGCCAUGCCGCGUGUGUGAAGAAGGCCUUCGGGUUGUAAAGCACUUUCAGUGGGGAAGAAAGCCUUGGGGCUAAUACCCUCGAGGAAGGACAUCACCCACAGAAGAAGCACCGGCUAACUCCGUGCCAGCAGCCGCGGUAAUACGGAGGGUGCGAGCGUUAAUCGGAAUUACUGGGCGUAAAGCGCGCGUAGGCGGUCUGAUAAGCCGGUUGUGAAAGCCCCGGGCUCAACCUGGGAACGGCAUCCGGAACUGUCAGGCUAGAGUGCAGGAGAGGGAGGUAGAAUUCCCGGUGUAGCGGUGAAAUGCGUAGAGAUCGGGAGGAAUACCAGUGGCGAAGGCGGCCUUCUGGACUGACACUGACGCUGAGGUGCGAAAGCGUGGGUAGCAAACAGGAUUAGAUACCCGUGUAGUC